rnacentral:rRNA from 1 species
AAAACAGUGCGUAAUAGCUGACUCAUCGAGUGAUUUCGCGCCGAAAAUGAUUGGCGAUAAGCGGUAUACCGAAGCUCUGGAUGGCGUCUGGGUUCGCCCAGGCGUCGUGGUAGGGGAGCGUUCUUAACGCGUCGAAGCAGGAGGGUAACCAACUGUGGAGUGUUAAGAAGUGAGAAUGCAGACAUGAGUAGCGAUAAGACAGGUUAAAUUCCUGUCCGCCGUAAACCCAAGGUUUCCUGGGGAAGGUUCGUCCUCCCAGGGUUAGUCGGGACCUAAGCUGAGACCGAAGGGCGUAAGCGAUGGACAGCUGGUUUAAUAUUCCAGCACCGGCUGUGGUUAAGCGUAGUUGAACAUGUGUGAGGAGGGUGGCUGUCGAUUGAAAGCGGCAGUCGCGCAAGCGGACGUGGAGGCUUCGGCCGAAGCGGAUCAUCUAAAUCAUGCAUCAAGAAAUACUUCUACGUGUUCCCACGGUCGCCCGUACCGUAAACCGACACAGGUGGGUGAGUAGAAUAUGCUAAGGCGCGUGAGUGAAACCUCGUUAAGGAACUCGGCAAUCUAGCCCCGUAACUUCGGAAGAAGGGGUGCCACCGUUAAGGUGGUCGCAGUGAAAUGGGUCAACCGACUGUUUUACAAAAACACAGCACUCUGCCAAGUCGCAAGACGACGUAUAGGGUGUGACACGUGACCAAUGCGGAAAGAUUACGGUAAGUGGUUAGCGCAAGCGAAGCUACGAGCCCAAGUCCCCGUGAAUGUCGGCCGUAACUAUAACGGUCCUAAGGUAGCGAAUUCCUUGUCGGGUAAGUUCCGACCUGCACGAAUCGUGUAACGAGUUGACCGCUGUCUCAACGAGGAGCUCAGCGAAGUUGUAGUGGCGGUGAAGAUGCCGCCUACCCGCAGUAGGACGGAAAGACCCUAUGCACCUUUACUGUACGCUGUUACUGUUGUUUCGAUUUUAAUGCUUAGCGUAAGUGGGAGACUUUGAUUUGUAUCUUUCGGGGUACAAUGAGACGUCAAUGAAACACCACCCUUUGACAUUGGAAUAACUAACCUCAUGCCAUUAUCUGGCUGAGGGACACUGGCAGCCGGUCAGUUUUACUGGGGCGGUAUCCUCCCAAAGAGUAACGGAGGAGUACGAAGGUUGGCUCAACCUGGUUGUUAAUCAGGUGACGAGUAUAUGGAUAUAAGCCAGCUUAACUGUGAGACGCACAUGUCGAGCAGGUACGAAAGUAGGUCCAAGUGAUCCGGUGGUUGAAUGUGGAAUUGCCAUCGCUCAACGGACAAAAGGUACGCUAGGGAUAACAGGCUGAUCCUGCCCAAGAGCUCAUAUCGACGGCAGGGUUUGGCACCUCGAUGUCGGCUCAUCACAUCCUGGGGCUGGAGAAGGUCCCAAGGGUCCGGCUGUUCGCCGGUUAAAGUGGUACGCGAGCUGGGUUCAGAACGUCGCGAGACAGUUCGGUCCUUAUCCACUGUGGGCGCAGGAGAAUUGAGGGGUUCAUACCUUAGUACGAGAGGACCGGGUAUGACGAACCGCUGGUGUUCCAGUUGUCGUGUCAACGGCAUUGCUGGGUAGCUAUGUUCGGAAAGGAUAAGCGCUGGAAGCAUCUAAGCGCCAAGCCUAUCCCAAGAUGAGUUCUCCCUGAAGGGUCGUGGUAGACCACCACGUUGAUGGGUUUCCGGUGUAAGCGUAGUAAUACGUUCAGCUGAGAAAUACUAAUAACCCGUUUGGCUUGGUCAU